UUUACCAAUUUGGAACUGUGCCCUUUUGCUUUGACUGCGAUUAUACUUGCGACAGGAAAUAAAAUUUGACUCCCCCGUGUGCCCGUUUUAGUUUAGAAGAUGAAACGAAUUUUUUUACAUUUUGCCGACUUUGCUCACACAGAACCAGAAAGAUUUAUUGUUUUAGAUUAGGUAAGGAUCCCUGAGGUGGAUAUAAAAGAGCAUUACUGUCUGUAAAGCCUCCACCAGUCCUAGCAGGAUUUCUUAGAGAGAAUCGAGGCAAGUCAUACACACUUUUGCUCUUACCAGGCCAAUAGAAGAAGAUGCCAUUCGAUGCAGCAGAUUCUCCUAUUCCUAUUGAUUAACGUCCCAUCAGGAGCUAUUCUUUCGCAAAGAGCUUCCACAAAUUAAGAGUUUAUUCAUGCGCAACAACUUCUUCUAAUUCUAUAGCAGUCUUCUACCUCACACCGGUGACUGAAGCAGCAGUCGUGGACAACAACUUCUUCUAAUUCUAUAGCAGUCUUCUAUCUAACAUCGGUGACUCAAGCAACGGUUAUUCGUAUAGACCAAGAGUUCCUACUGCCACACUAGUAAUUCCAUCAAAACACUUUGUCGAGACACUCAUUUGCUUUCUCCUUUUCGAUGCCAUCUCAUAUUUCCCCUGAGAUGUCACUUCGACUAUUCAAAGUUGAGUUAUAAAAUAAAAUAUUGCAAUAUCUUGUGUACAACACAAAUAAAAUAUUUAUUUAUUUGCUUUA